GAAUAAUUGCUAUUAGGUAACGUUUGUUUUGCAGUACUGGAACAGAGACUGAGAGACUGAAACACAGUAUUAUGUUUGUUGGUUUAGAGACUGGUACUACAAUUUUUGUCUCUGUCUCCAAAAUUUCAGUAUUUCAGUGCCUCCAAAAUGUAGGGACACAUGAGACUGAAACUUU